AUGUCCAUGGCGCCGUACGAGCAGGUGAUGGAUGACCUGGCCAGGGGGCAGCAGUUCGCGACGCAGCUGCAGGGCCUCCUCCGGGACUCCCCCAAGGCCGGCCACAUCAUGGACCAGAUCCUCCACACCUUCUCCCGCGCCAUCCACACCGCCAAGGCCGCGGCCGCGGCCGCUGCCAGCGCCAGCGCCAGCGAGAGCGAGGUCACCGAUGGCGCAAGCAGCGGCGGGAAGAGGAAGCCCGCCGCCCGCGGAGGACCGCGCAAGGCCUGUCGGACAAGGACCCAGGAUUCGUCCGUCGUGACCAAGAACAUGAGGAGCUUGGAGGACGGGCAGACAUGGCGCAAGUACGGGCAGAAGGAGAUACAGAACUCCAAGCACUCAAAGGCCUACUUCCGGUGCACGCACAAGUACGACCAGCAGUGCAUGGCGCGGCGGCAGGCCCAGCGCUGCGACGACGACCCGGACACGUUCAGGGUCACCUACAUCGGCGCGCACACCUGCCGGGACCCCGCCGCCGCCGUGGCGGCGCAUGCUCCCGGCACCGCAGCCGGCUGCCACCUCAUCAGCUUCGCGCCGGCCGCUGCUCAUGGCACCACCACCAGCACCACCACAACGAACAGCAACAAGGUCGGCGAGGACGCUGCGACGGGGUCCGGCCUGCUGCUGCCUGGCCUGAAGCUUGAGGGCGGCGACCUGGAGGAGGUGCUGAGCAGCCGCACGCCCGGGAGCUCUGCCCUGUACGGCGGCGCCGCGGCGGCGGCGGCUUGGCCUGACCAGGGCGACGUCACGUCCACCCUGCAGUACGGUGGUGCCGGUGCCUUUGGAGUGCUCUUUGAUGGUUACCCGUAUCUCGAGGACAUCCUGUCAUACGAUCUCGACCAUUGA
rnacentral:rRNA from 1 species